AGUGAGGACGACGAGAGGUCACUCUCGUCGCCAUUUUGUUUUUGGUGGUUUUUGUCUGGCUUCUUUACCGCAACCUGUUUUAUCAGCAAAGUCUUUAUAACCUGUAUUUUGUGCUGACCUCCUAUCUCAUCCUGUGACUUAGAAUGCCUUAACAACUGUCUGGAAUGCAGCCCGGUAUGCAUGGAAUUCUAUCUCUAUCCCUCCAAGAACUUUGUUUAAAUAAUUUUGCUUAAGAGGAAUGAAAUGUCCUUUUCUGUCAAGCUAUAUGCAGAUAUUCCAGCAGAGGAUCCUGAUACCAAAACGGAUUGCAGAGCCACAGGUUGAAAAUAGCAGAGACUCCAUGGUUCCCUCAAUGAUUGCAUGGAACAAUAACACAUGAUCCCUGUGAUGAUCUGUGGAGUGGCUGCAGCACCUGUGUUUCAGCCUGAAGAAUGGGCACAGUCCCUCUUUGGCAGACUGAAUGGAUGCUGCCAUACCAUCACACUGGAAAUGAGGAAUAUAACACCAUGAGGAAGAAUGGUUGUUUCACACACUGAUAUUUCAUGAUUCUGAAGAAGAAUUGGAGGUGAGACUUGAGAAAAUGGAGAAAAAGAUAUGCUUUGGAUUUUCUUGAAGACUAGAAGCUUUCUUAACCAUCCACCACCUUGUUGACUGGUUAUUAUUCUCUCUACCUUCUGUGAAACAAACUGAUGGAUACUAAUGGCACAAUUACACUUAUAGCUAGUCAGUUGCAUAGUUUAUGCACAUAGUUCUGCUUCCAGUGUUUAGUAAUGAGUUAAACAUUUUGGCUAUAUUUGUCUCUGAAGCUAUAAUUUCAAUUAAUCAUUAUGUAUAGCAAUAAUAACAAGUAAAACAAAAAGAAGAAUUUUUUGUUUCUAUGGUAAUUAUGUUGGGUGCUUUGGAUCCUCCCAAUAAAGUUGACUUCCUAAAAUAAUUACACUUGAAUUAGGUAUAGAGAAGCUAAUUGUAACAAAUUGAAAGUUACUGUAAAUCUUCUAAUCGUAGUUCUCUGCAAGUGUACUUAAGUUAUUGCUCCACUUGAAAUAAAUGAAAACUGGAAAUCUGA
rnacentral:lncRNA from 1 species